UACGUAGGGCGCAAGCGUUGUCCGGAAUUAUUGGGCGUAAAGAGCUCGUAGGCGGUUCUCGCGUCUGCUGUGAAGUCCCGGAGCUCAACUCCGGUCUGCAGUCGAUACGGCAACUGGAGUACUGCAGGGAGACUGGAAUUCCUGGUGUAGCGGUGAAUGCGCAGAUAUCAGGAGGAACACCGGUGGCGAAGGCGCCACUCUGGCCGGAACUGACGCUGAGGAGCGAAAGCUAGGGAGCAACGG
rnacentral:rRNA from 1 species